GCAUUUAAAUUAGAAAGAUCAUAUCAUAGGGCACAUGUAUACUAAGUUUCAAGUUGAUUGGACUUCAACUUCAUCAAAAACUACCUUGACCAAAAACUUUAACCUGAAAUUUGCACUAUCAUUUUCUAUGUUCAGUGAACCGUAAAAUUGGGGUCAAAACUAUAAUUUGGCAUUUAAAUUAGAAAGAUCAUAUCAUAGGGCACAUGUAUACUAAGUUUCAAGUUGAUUGGACUUCAACUUCAUCAAAAACUACCUUGACCAAAAACUUUAACCUGAAGCGGGACAGACGGACGAACGAACGAACGAACGAACAGACGGACAGACGGACAGACGGACGGACGCACAGACCAGAAAACAUAAUGCCCCU
rnacentral:lncRNA from 1 species